UACGUAGGGUGCGAGCGUUAAUCGGAAUUACUGGGCGUAAAGCGUGCGCAGGCGGUGAUGUAAGACAGGUGUGAAAUCCCCGGGCUUAACCUGGGAACUGCAUUUGUGACUGCAUCGCUGGAGUGCGGCAGAGGGGGAUGGAAUUCCGCGUGUAGCAGUGAAAUGCGUAGAUAUGCGGAGGAACACCGAUGGCGAAGGCAGUGUCCUGGGAAGCAUCUGACGCUCAGGUGCGAAAGCUAGGGGAGCGAACAGG
rnacentral:rRNA from 1 species